UACGUAGGGUGCGAGCGUUGUCCGGAAUUACUGGGCGUAAAGAGCUCGUAGGUGGUUUGUCGCGUUGUCCGUGAAAGUUCCCUGGCUUAACUGGGGGCGUGCGGGCGAUACGGGCAGACUGGAGUACUGCAGGGGAGACUGGAAUUCCUGGUGUAGCGGUGGAAUGCGCAGAUAUCAGGAGGAACACCGGUGGCGAAGGCGGGUCUCUGGGCAGUAACUGACGCUGAGGAGCGAAAGCGUGGGGAGCGAACAGG
rnacentral:rRNA from 1 species